GACAGAAGCCGCUCCUUAAUAAAAGGCACAUGGCAGCCCACCUGGAGUUUGCCAAAGGCACCUGAAGGACUUUCAGAUCAUGAGAAAAAAAAUUCUCUGGUCUGAUGAGACAAAGAUGAACUCUUCGGUGUGAAUGCCAGCCGUCAUGUUUGGAGGUAAACCAGACAACAUCCCUACAUAAUCCAUUUGGAUCAAG